GAGUUUGAUCCUGGCUCAGGACGAACGCUGGCGGCGUGCUUAACACAUGCAAGUCGAACGGAAAGGUCUCUUCGGAGAUACUCGAGUGGCGAACGGGUGAGUAACACGUGGGCGAUCUGCCCUGCACUUCGGGAUAAGCCUGGGAAACUGGGUCUAAUACCGGAUAGGACCACGGGAUUCAUGUCCUGUGGUGGAAAGCUUUUGCGGUGUGGGAUGGGCCCGCGGCCUAUCAGCUUGUUGGUGGGGUAACGGCCUACCAAGGCGACGACGGGUAGCCGGCCUGAGAGGGUGUCCGGCCACACUGGGACUGAGAUACGGCCCAGACUCCUACGGGAGGCAGCAGUGGGGAAUAUUGCACAAUGGGCGCAAGCCUGAUGCAGCGACGCCGCGUGGGGGAUGACGGCCUUCGGGUUGUAAACCUCUUUCACCAUCGACGAAGGUUCGGGUUUUCUCGGAUUGACGGUAGGUGGAGAAGAAGCACCGGCCAAGUACGUCCCAGCAGCCGCGGUAAUACGUAGGGUGUGAGCG
rnacentral:rRNA from 1 species